rnacentral:rRNA from 1 species
CAGCAGCCGCGGUAAUACGUAGGGGGCGAGCGUUGUCCGGAUUUAUUGGGCGUAAAGAGCUCGUAGGCGGUUUGGCAAGUCGGGUGUGAAAACUCCGGGCUCAACUCGGAGACGCCACUCGAUACUGCCAUGACUCGAGUCCGGUAGGGGAGUGCGGAAUUCCUGGUGUAGCGGUGAAAUGCGCAGAUAUCAGGAGGAACACCGGUGGCGAAGGCGGCACUCUGGGCCGGUACUGACGCUGAGGAGCGAAAGCGUGGGGAGCGAACAGGAUUAGAUACCCUGGUAGUCCACGCCGUAAACGUUGGGCACUAGGUGUGGGGCUCGAUCGACGGGCUCCGUGCCGUAGCUAACGCAUUAAGUGCCCCGCCUGGGAAGUACGGCCGCAAGGCUAAAACUCAAAGGAAUUGACGG